rnacentral:lncRNA from 1 species
AUAAUAAAUAAAAACUUAUUUAUUUAUUUAUUUUUUAGAGAGAAAGGUAGCAUGCUACCUAUUUCGUUUAUUUUUUUAGAAAUAAAUUUAGCUGAAAAUAUGAAUCAAUUAAAAUUCGAACUUAAAAUCUCGGAUAUCAACCACUAAGCUCUUUACCACUUACACUAGAAAGUCAAUUAUUUAAAAAAAAAAGAAAAAAGUUUAAAUACCCCGGUUUCGCAGUUUCUCACUUUAAUAUCCUAUGGUUUAAAGUGUAUCAAGUUAGUACCCUAUGGUUUCGCACUUUCUCACUUUAGUACCCUAUAGUUUAAAGUGCAUCAAGUUAGUACGCUGUGGUUUCGCACUUUCUCACUUUAGUACCCUAUGGUUUAAAGUGUAUCAAGUUAGUAUUCUGUAGUUUUAUUUUUAUAUCAAGUUAAUACCCUGUGGUUUUAUUUUUCUCUUUUUAUUAUCUAUUUUGGCGUAUUUUUUUCGUUAAAUUAGUGAUAAAGUUAAAACUAAAGGGUACUCAAAUGAAUAUUCGAUAAACCUAGGUAGGGUAUCUGAAGUUUUUUGUAUAUAAUUUAACGAAAUAUUAAACCACAAGGUACUAAAAUGAGAAAGUGCGAAACCACAGGGCAGUAACUUGAGACACUUUAAACUAUAGGGUACUAAAGUGAGAAAGUGCGAAAUCAUAGAAUACUAACUUGAUACACUUUAAACCACAGAAUAUUAAAGUGAGAAAGUGCGAAACCACAUGAGAAUAUUUGAAGUUUUUCCUUUUGUUUAGUUAGCUCUAAUUCGUAUCAUUAGUAUUUAGAGUUCAAAAGUCACUUAUUAGACGCUUGAUUCUCCCAUUAUACAUAGAAAACUACAAAGUAAUGAUACAAAAACGACUCAGCCCACUAGUACUGCUACAAAUAUGUGAAUUUCAUUACAGGUGAAGCGAGGUGUCCACGUCCAAUUCACCGUACUCCUUCGUGUUCUCGCGAUUCUUAUUGUUACAACUUGUAUCGAGCCCGGGAGGCGAAGCGCGAGUUAGCUCGGCGUGGAAGAGCCACACGGCGGGGGGUUGGCGUUGCUCGUCGCGACGAGAAAGAAUGUUGAAGCAGCCACCACUCCUGCUCUUCUCCCUCAUCUCCUUCACCUUCUGCAGCUGCUUAAACCUCUCCUGCAGGAGCGCAAUUGAGGAGCAAUACUGCAGGAGAGUGUUGGCCUCAUCAUCAUUGUUGUUGUUGUUGUUGUUGUUGUUGUUGUUAGUUUCUCUCUCCAUGUUUAUUUCCUGUUUUCGAAGGAUGGUGUGGUGUACUUAUAGGGGGGGGGGGAAGGGAAAUAUUGUCUUUUAUGAGCGGAUUUUAUGUGUUUCUGUGCCUCCUUGUUGUUUUAUUCUGGUGAUAUGACAGAAAGAGAGUUACUUGCUGCAUGCACAUGGUGUACCAGCACAUAUUCAUUCCAUGAGAAAAAAAAAAAAAAAAAAAAGUUCACCCUGCGACUAAGAACAGAUGAGAGUAGAUUUUGAAUAAUAAGAUAGUGGGUUAUAUGUAUUGUUUUGAAAUCAGCAUUUGCCUGAUAUUGUCUAUGAUAUCUUCUGAAUGACCUAUGUCUAACCGUUCCAAAACUCAAUGGUAACAGAAAUGAAAUUGGUCGAUUUAGCCGUAGGAUGCGGUGCGCGGUGGACUGGGUGCAUGCAAUAAUUUCUAAAGGAGGAGGGAGGGGAAUCACGGAGGGCAUUGCUAAAUCCAAGGGGUAAAGGGCUUUGGAGCUAUUGCAAAAGAGUUGGAUUAGUGGAGGAGAGGAAGGAGAAAAGCCACUUUUAAAAGGACGAGAGGGGUGGGAGAGUAGUACAAGAGAGGGUGGAGUUUAGUGCUUGGAUUGAGCUUGUAGGAGAAUAUAAGGUUGUGUAAUUUGUGAUGAGUUUUGUCACCUAUUUCUUAGCAUUAAUUGACAUGAUGGAGCUUCUUGGUGGAUCAAAUAUUUUACCUGGACCAAGUGUAUCCAUCAAUAUUCUACUUCCACUUUUAGCCCAUGUUUGGCCUGUUACAAGUAGUUUAUUUAUGGCUCAUAUUUGUUUAUAUCAAACGGUAUUUAAUUCACAGUCAAAUUUGAUACUCUCCUACUAUUUGUUUGUUCAAAAGUUUUUCACUACAUUGUCAGUUUGCUAAUCAUAAAUAAGACAUAAACAGUAGAUAUUCAAUACAUCAUAGAACUCAUUUGUAAUAGAUAUAUAUAUUUUUUACUGAUUUGGGAUGUAAGUAAAUCGAAUUAGUUUACGAUAUUCGAUUAUAACAUACUUUUUCUAUUCUUCUGUUAACGUCAAACCAAAUGAACUAAUUAAGUAAUAUUUAUAACUAAAUUAGCUUACAACAGUAAUACUAUUUUUGUACAAAGAUGACGGAUAUGUUAGGAGUGUUAAAUAUGAUGGAUGGAGAGUUACUAUACCAGUGGUGCACGGACGUACAGAUGAACUUGGUGCAGGUUAUAUAAUACUUUUGGUGAGCUGUGGAGUAGCUGCUUCUUUGCUUAAUUCUCUUUUGGAAGAUCUUUGAGACUUUGAUAAGGUUGGAUGGUGAACAAUUCCAACACUGAAUUUAAUGAAGAUUAGGUUAAAAGGUAGCUUGUUUUAACUACCAUGCAUCAGGUACUUGCUCUUCCUAGGGUUUUCUUUUAUUGGGGCCUCUUUGCACUUCAAAAAUAGAAUUUUAGAGUAACGCUAUAUUUACAAACAAAAUUUAAAACAUUUUAUAAAUUAGCGUAUAUAGCGGUAUUUAAUUAAUGGAGAAGUACAAAUUACGAAAAGGUAAGUAUUACCUAUAAUUUUAUGGUUGAAAUUUAUUCAUCGGGUUGUACUGCUUGUAAAAUAUUUUUGAGAAUUUUAUUUUGUAAUUACAACUGUUCGAGUUUGCUUUUAGUCUUUUUGUAAAGUCUCAAAAAUAAUGGUUCUAUAAAUGAAAGAGAAAUAUGUACAGAGACCCUCUCAACUAUGUGCUAUUUUCAGAUGGCCCCUUGACUUUAUUCAUUUAUUUUUGUUAAUAUACCCUAUUAAGUUGUGAAUUUUGUUUUUUGAACUGAGUGAUUUUAGUCAAAUAAUAUUAAAGCUUUAUCUUGUUUAUCAGUAUUUUUUUACAAAAUUAGUAGUCUUAAUUACCUUUUAGUAAAUGAAAUUGAAACAAUUAAUGGUUUGUAGCUAUCAGAGCCACUAAACUCAAAUUCAAAAAAAAAAAUAAAAUAUUGAAGGGGUCGGUAAGAAAAGUGGAGUUGAGCAGCAUAUCUCUAUUGUUGAGGGGGUCUCAGUACAUAUUAACCAUCUCAAAGUAAUUUUUUUAUUUUGUAAAUUAUUUGUUAUACAUCUAAUGAUUUUCCUUUUCGAAUCUAAACAUGGGGUGAUUAGAUUAGAAUAUAGAGUAAUUAGAUUGGAUGUUUGAUUAAGUUAAUUAUAAUUGGUUUUAAGGCAAAUUGCACAGUUUGUCCUCAAAGUAUGGGUCAAGUGACACUUCGGUCCCAAACUUUUAAUUUGUUACAAUUUUUAGCUUGAACUUUCAGAAAUAUUGUAAUCAGUAAUUUAAUUGACUAAUAUUGAUGUUAAUAUAUUGCUACGGUAAUAGUGAUGUACUAGUAUUAUGAUUGAUAAUGCAUUAAUAAUUAAAAUACUACAUUACUUCUAUAUUAGCAUGUAUCAAUAUUUAGCCAGGUAAAUUGUAUUGUGGGACUAUUGUAAUAAUUCUAAAUGUUUGCGUCAAAAAUAAGACAAAUUAAAGUCUGAGGGCAAAAAUGUCACAAGCGUCAUAGUUUG